rnacentral:rRNA from 1 species
UAUGUGAUCGUCUCUCGCAUAUCAAUAAGCGGAGGAAAAGAAACUAACAAGGAUUCCCCUAGUAACGGCGAGUGAAGCGGGAAGAGCUCAAAUUUGAAAUCUUAAAGGGUUUCCCUUUACGAAUUGCAGUUUAAAGAAGUGUUUUCUGUUGAGGUUUUGGUAAAAGUUCUUUGGAAUAGGACAUCAUAGAGGGUGAGAAUCCCGUAUUUGACCUUUACUUUCAACUUUGUGAUACACUUUCAAAGAGUCGGAUUGUUUGGGAAUGCAGUCCAAAAUGGGUGGUAAAUUUCAUCUAAAGCUAAAUAUUGGCGAGAGACCGAUAGCGAACAAGUACCGUGAGGGAAAGAUGAAAAGAACUUUGAAAAGAGAGUUAAACAGUACGUGAAAUUGUCAAAAGGGAAGCGUUUGACACCAGUGUUGUUUUUCUGAAAAUCAAUUAAAGAACUGUUUAUGCUAAGCUGUUUCGACUUUAUCAGCUAUCUGUUUAGUUUUGAGCUUUUCUUUAAUGCACUUUUCAGUUAACAAGUCAACAUCAAUUUCUUUUGCUGUAAAAAAGCUUGAGGAAGGUGGCUUGAGAUUCGUCUUAAGUGUUUAUAGCCUCUUGCCUAUGCAGUCGGAGAGAUUGAGGUCUGCAGCGUAGAUUCCUUCGGGGCUAAAUGCAUUUGUGCUAAGUUAUAGCAUUUUAUAGACAACUUGUUGACUAUGAUUUGUCUUGUAGCUUACUCGCUUAUGUUAUUUUACCUACGCUUAGGAUGUUGAUCUACAGAGCGAGAGU